rnacentral:rRNA from 1 species
GACGAACGCUGGCGGCGUGCUUAACACAUGCAAGUCGAACGGUGAAGGGAUCAGCUUGCUGGUUCUGGAUGAGUGGCGAACGGGUGAGUAACACGUGAGUAACCUGCCCCCUUCUUCUGGAUAACCGCAUGAAAGUGUGGCUAAUACGGGAUAUUCUGCGCCUGCUGCAUGGUGGGUGUGGGAAAGAUAUUGUUUCGGUGGGGGAUGGGCUCGCGGCCUAUCAGCUUGUUGGUGGGGUGAUGGCCUACCAAGGCGGUGACGGGUAGCCGGCCUGAGAGGGUGGACGGUCACACUGGGACUGAGACACGGCCCAGACUCCUACGCGAGGCAGCAGUGGGGAAUAUUGCACAAUGGGCGCAAGCCUGAUGCAGCGACGCCGCGUGAGGGAGGGAGGCCUUCGGGUUGUGAACCUCUUUCGCCAGUGAAGCAGGCCUGUCCCUUGUGGGUGGGUUGACGGUAGCUGGAUAAGAAGCGCCGGCUAACUACGUG